ACAUCUGCUGUUUUCCUGGCUAUCAUAUGGCUCUCUGUCCUCCUACUGAUAGGGAAAAAGAGAUCCUCCAAGCAAUCAUCUGAGCCUGGAGAUAGACCAGACGACAGGGAACAGGAUGACCUUCAUUAUGCCAGUUUCCACUUCUCCAAUAACCAGACAGAUGCUGUCUACUCCAACAUCAUACCAGCUGUCCCCCGAAGACACAAGGAAGAGGAGGAGGAAGAAGUUGUUGAGUACGCUGCUGUCCAAUUUGACAGUGCCAGUACUGCCCCAAGGACCAGAAGUCAGGAAACUGUGGAGGAUCCAGCUGCAUUGUACAGUACAGUCAACAAAAGUGCUGAACACAACCGGAACAUCUAAUCUGUGCUUUCUGUCAUUUUUAAAUGUGCUAGACUCUAGGGAUGGCAAAGUUAGUCUGUGGUUGGUUGGGCUGUCAACUGGUCCACCACUUUGGUCCAGAGUCCAGACUGAAAUAGCUCAACAACUAUUUGAUGGAUUGCCAUAAAGUUUUUACUGACAUUUAUGGUUCCCAGAGGAUGCAUCCUACUGACUUUGGGAUCCCGACUUUAACCCUGCACCAGAACCAGGGUGUCAUUUUAGUUUUUUGUGACAUGUCUUGACAACUAUUGGAUGGAUUGAAAUGUGUUAUUUGCUU